AUGGCCUGGACCACACUCUCCCUCCUUGUCCUUGUUCUCCACUGCACAGGGUCCCUCUCCCAGGCUGUGCUGACUCAAUCGCCAUCUACCUCUGCUUCCCUGGGAGCCUUGGCCAAGCUCACCUGCACUCUGAGCAGGGAGCACAACAACUACAACAUUGGGUGGUACCGGCAGCAGCCAGGGAAAGCCCUUCGGUAUGUGAUGUAUCUUUACAGUAAUGGAAGACACAAGGGCGACAGGAUCCCUGAUCACUUCUCGGGCUUGAGCUCUGAAGCUGACCACUACUUGACCCCCUUCAACCUCCAGCCUGAGGAUGAGGCUGACUACUUCUAUGUUUUACCUUAUAGUGGUUCCCUCUCCCAGCCUGUAGUAGCUCAGCCACCCUCCCUCUCUGCAUCUCCUGGGGCAUCUACCAGACUCACCUGCACCCUGAGCAGUGGCUUCAGUGUCAGUGACUUUGGCUUCUGCUGA